AACGAACGCUGGCGGCAGGCCUAACACAUGCAAGUCGAGCGCUGUAGCAAUACAGAGCGGCGCACGGGUGAGUAACACGUGGGAACGUGCCCUUUGGUUCGGAAUAACUCAGGGAAACUUGAGCUAAUACCGGAUGAGCCCUAACGGGGAAAGAUUUAUCGCCGAAGGAGCGGCCCGCGUUGGAUUAGCUAGUUGGUGGGGUAAAAGCCUACCAAGGCGACGAUCCAUAGCUGGUUUGAGAGAACGACCAGCCACACUGGGACUGAGACACGGCCCAGACUCCUACGGGAGGCAGCAGUGGGGAAUCUUGGACAAGUGGGGAAACCCUGAUCCAGCCAUGCCGCGUGAGUGAUGAAGGCCCUAGGGUU
rnacentral:rRNA from 1 species